GGUAGCACAGAGAGCUUGCUCUUGGGUGACGAGUGGCGGACGGGUGAGUAAUGUCUGGGAAACUGCCUGAUGGAGGGGGAUAACUACUGGAAACGGUAGCUAAUACCGCAUAACGUCUUCGGACCAAAGUGGGGGACCUUCGGGCCUCACACCGUCGGAUGUGCCCAGAUGGGAUUAGCUAGUAGGUGGGGUAAUGGCUCACCUAGGCGACGAUCCCUAGCUGGUCUGAGAGGAUGACCAGCCACACUGGAACUGAGACACGGUCCAGACUCCUACGGGAGGCAGCAGUGGGGAAUAUUGCACAAUGGGCGCAAGCCUGAUGCAGCCAUGCCGCGUGUAUGAAGAAGGCCUUCGGGUUGUAAAGUACUUUCAGCGGGGAGGAAGGCGAUAAGGUUAAUAACCUUGUCGAUUGACGUACCCGCAGAAG
rnacentral:rRNA from 1 species